UACGUAGGGUGCGAGCGUUGUCCGGAAUUAUUGGGCGUAAAGAGCUCGUAGGCGGUCUGUCGCGUCGGUCGUGAAAACUUGGGGCUUAACCCUGAGCUUGCGGUCGAUACGGGCAUGACUGGAGUUCGGCAGGGGAGACUGGAAUUCCUGGUGUAGCGGUGAAAUGCGCAGAUAUCAGGAGGAACACCGAUGGCGAAGGCAGGUCUCUGGGCCACUACUGACGCUGAGAAGCGAAAGCGUGGGGAGCGAACAGG
rnacentral:rRNA from 1 species